UACGAAGGGGGCUAGCGUUGUUCGGAAUUACUGGGCGUAAAGCGCACGUAGGCGGAUUUGCCAGUCAGGGGUGAAAUCCCGGGGCUCAACCUCGGAACUGCCUCUGAUACAGCAAGUCUUGAGUCCGGAAGAGGUGGGUGGAAUUCCUAGUGUAGAGGUGAAAUGCGCAGAUAUCAGGAAGAACACCAAUGGCGAAGGCAGCUCUCUGGGACGGUACUGACGCUGAGACGCGAAAGCGUGGGGAGCGAACAGG
rnacentral:rRNA from 1 species